GGUUGUGGCUCAGUGGCAGAAUGCCUGCCUAGUGUGUGUGAGGUGCUGGGUUCAAUCCUCAGCACCA
rnacentral:tRNA from 1 species